rnacentral:rRNA from 1 species
UACGUAGGGUGCGAGCGUUAAUCGGAAUUACUGGGCGUAAAGCGUGCGUAGGCGGUCCGCGAAGUCUGAUGUGAAAGCCCCGGGCUCAACCUGGGAACUGCAUUGGAAACUACCGGGCUCGAGUGUGGCAGAGGGGGGUGGAAUUCCACGUGUAGCAGUGAAAUGCGUAGAGAUGUGGAGGAACACCGAUGGCGAAGGCAGCCCCCUGGGCUAACACUGACGCUCAGGCACGAAAGCGUGGGGAGCAAACAGG